rnacentral:rRNA from 1 species
UACAGAGGUCUCAAGCGUUGUUCGGAUUCAUUGGGCGUGAAGGGUGCGUAGGUGGCGCCGUAAGUCGGGUGUGAAAUUUCGGAGCUUAACUCCGAAACUGCAUUCGAUACUGCGGUGCUUGAGGACUGGAGAGGAGACUGGAAUUCAUGGUGUAGCAGUGAAAUGCGUAGAGAUCAUGAGGAAGACCAGUGGCGAAGGCGGGUCUCUGGACAGUUCCUGACACUGAGGCACGAAGGCCAGGGGAGCAAACGGG